rnacentral:rRNA from 1 species
UGGGGAAUCAUGGUCAAUGGGCGAAAGCCUGAACCUGCGACGCCGCGUGAGUGAUGAAGGUCGUAAGAUCGUAAAACUCUUUUCAGGGAUCUUAAAGCCUGUCUGUCAACAACAGGCAGGUCUGACUCUCCCUGGAAGAAGCCCCAGCCAACUACGUGCCAGCAGCUGCGGUAAUACGUAGGGGGCGAGCGUUAUUCGGAAUUACUGGGUGUAAAGGGUAUGUAGGCGGCCCUUCAAGUCGCGUGUCAAAGUCCAGUGCUCCACGCUGGGGGUGCGCGCGAGACUGACGGGCUUGAUGGCUGGAGAGGUGAGCGGAAUUCCCGGUGUAGUGGUAAAAUACGUAGAGAUCGGGAGGAACACCAGCGGCGCAGGCGGCUCACUAGACAGUUUCUGACGCUAAGAUACGAAAGCGUGGGGAGCAAACA